GGAGGGUGCAAGCGUUAAUCGGAAUUACUGGGCGUAAAGCGUGCGUAGGCGGUUCGUUAAGUCUGCUGUGAAAGCCCCGGGCUCAACCUGGGAAUGGCAGUGGAUACUGGCGAGCUAGAGUGUGAUAGAGGAUGGUGGAAUUCCCGGUGUAGCGGUGAAAUGCGUAGAGAUCGGGAGGAACAUCAGUGGCGAAGGCGGCCAUCUGGAUCAACACUGACGCUGAGGCACGAAAGCGUGGGGAGCAAACAGGAUUAGAUACCCUGGUAGUCCACGCCCUAAACGAUGCGAACUGGAUGUUGGUCUCAACUCGGAGAUCAGUGUCGAAGCUAACGCGUUAAGUUCGCCGCCUGGGGAGUACGGUCGCAAGACUGAA
rnacentral:rRNA from 1 species